CCAGUUUUCCAGAGGCAGCACCUUCAGUACCUCGAGCUCCUGGGCCCUAUGGCCCACACCGGCCGCCCCAACCCCAAGGUCCAGGCUUGGACAGCGAUAGCUUGAAGAGAGAGAAGGAUGACAUCUAUGGGUGAGUGAGUCUAGGGACAGGCAAGGGUUCCCCAGAGUGUUCUUUUUGUCUCUCAGGGUCUGUUUCUCUCCUUGUGUCUGUCUCUGAGCACUCCAUAUUUCCCCUCAUGGAUGAAUACCCACUUUCCUGUCCCCACAGACACCCCCUCUUCCCACUCUUGGCCCUGGUCUUUGAGAAGUGUGAGCUGGCUACAUGCUCGCCCCGUGAUGGGGCCUCGGCUGGGCUGGGUUCACCCCCAGGUGGUGACGUCUGCUCCUCUGACUCCUUCAAUGAGGAUAUUGCUGCCUUUGCUAAGCAGGUGGGCAGCCCCAGAACGAAGUACUAAGGGAGGCAGCAGGCAGGGCGGGCGGGAGGCGGGACCACCUUGCCUGGCCUCUCUUCUCCCUCCCAGAUCCGCUCCGAGAGGCCGCUGUUCUCUUCCAACCCGGAGCUGGACAACCUGGUGAGGCCCAGGCCCUCCCCGUAUUCCCUCCGCAGCCAGCCCUUGUCCUUCCCCUUCCCCUUUGUUCCUGGGGUCGGCUGAGGGGUGAAGACAGGAAACCACUGGCCCACAUUUACAAACCACAAGAGUGUUGAGCAUUUGAGAACUCCAGGUGGUCAGAGACUGAAUCCCAGUUCUGCCAUUCUAACGUCAUGA
rnacentral:lncRNA from 1 species